AGGGUUCGAUUCUGGCUCAGAUUGAACGCUGGCGGUAUGCUUAACACAUGCAAGUCGAACGGAAACGAUACUAGCUUGCUAGUAGGCGUCGAGUGGCGGACGGGUGAGUAACGCGUAGGAAUCUGCCUGAUAGUGGGGGAUAGCCCGAAGAAAUUCGGAUUAAUACCGCAUAAUCUAUUCGUAGUAAAGUGGGGGACUUUCGAGCCUCACGCUAUCAGAUGAGCCUGCGUAAGAUUAGCUUGUUGGUGGGGUAAAAGCCCACCAAGGCGACGAUCUUUAGCUGGUCUGAGAGGAUGAUCAGCCACAUCGGGACUGAGACACGGCCCGAACUCCUACGGGAGGCAGCAGUGGGGAAUAUUGGACAAUGGGGGCAACCCUGAUCCAGCAAUACCGCGUGUGUGAAGAAGGCCUGAGGGUUGUAAAGCACUUUCAAUUGUGAAGAAAAGUUAGCGGUUAAUAACCGUUAGCCUUGACGUUAACUUUAGAAGAAGCACCGGCUAACUCCGUGCCAGCAGCCGCGGUAAU
rnacentral:rRNA from 1 species